GUCCUUGCAUUCAUAGAGAGUUCAACACCACGAUAAAACUUUGUUAAAGCUCAGCUACGCCGAUUUUCGAGUGUUACAGAAUGGAAUGGUACUCACACGGUGUGUUCAUAAGGGAACACUGAUUAUGUAUGCAAAAUAGUUAUCCCAAACUCCUCGUGGUUUUCCGAAAAAGUGAAUUUUUAGUUUCACUGACAUCCCGUCUUGUGGCCCGCAAACCCUGUGUCGACGACACAUUCGUGGUCUGCCCGCGCUCCGGCUUGGCAUGACUUUUGGCUUGGUUUCUUCCGCCAAGCCGGCCAGUUUCUCCUGCCGAGCCGUCUGCUGCGCAGAUUCACAUUCACAUUGGGGAAGUGAUAAACAGUUCGCUAUUAGGGAGCCAAUAUAUUUCUGGACUUCACUAAACCCACGAGGAACGUGAUUUUUGCUUCCUUCGACUGCAAAGCAUUUGCUAGGCCAGUACAGGCUUCCUGGUGUCAUUCGUGUUUUGUGCUGCGUGCCGAGAAUGCGUGAGCGUUUUGCUCCCGUCUGCAAGAACACUUCAGCAUGCAGUUCCAAUGUUUCAAACCACAAUUUUCCGAAAGGCGAAAGAGAAAUCUAUUGACUGCAACAAUCGGUUACAACUCCGACUGGGUGCCACCUUCGAAAGCAGUGAUUUGAUCUGUUCAUCUGCCUCAUACGAAUGUUACGGAAGCAAUGCGCAACUUGUUUCACAAGAAGCUGAAGAUGUCUCGUCCGGGAUGCUGUGCCAACCUUAUCUGCAGCAGGAGAUUGCAGGGGCAGGACUAGGCAGCAGAUAAAGGCAUUCUGGCACCACCGAAAAGCUUGCACUCCACGUCUCAACUAUCACAGUCUGGGUUUCAAGCUGAAGGUUUUCACCAGUGCCAACCAGACGCCCCUUCAAAGUUCAUAUCUUUUGUUGACGGAACAGUGACACCUGGUACUGAGACAUUUCAUUUUCUGAUUAAUCGAGUGCAUUCCAUCACUUGUGCUCGACUUCUUGUGUUCAUAUACCCUUGCUGUUGCUCGCUAGCUUAGAGCACCCAUGCCUGAGGUGCCAGCGCUUUCAGAGUACAUUUAAGCGGUAUCAUCGUAUCAUAUGCACGACAGCACAUCUUGUGUAUUUUGAGUAAGGUAUAAAUUCAAUGUUGGCUCAGCUGUUGUAUUUUGGUCACCAAUAAGGUGUUCUUCCAGACCGCUCAAGGGCAGUUCAAGCAGUUUCAUGUGUGCAACAGCACAUACUUUUUCUCAGUUUUGACUAAGGUAAAUCGAAAUCUUCCAGUUGAUGUCUUUCAGUAAUAAAUUAUGUUUUUCGAGACAUUCAAACAGCAUCAUAUGUGCAACAGUACAUACUUUUUCUCAGGUGAAGUAAGCUAAAUCUGUCCGCCGUGGUGUUCUGGCAGUGGAGCAGAAGCUUGUGUUGCAUUCAAGUGGUAUCAUGUAUACAAAAACUUGUUUUAUGCCUUUCUGUAGCUGCUGUACUAAUAUUGUGAGUACAGAGACAUUCCUACAUAACAUAUCGGAGCAUCUUGUGUGCUAUUGUUGGUAUGAUCUGCAGCAGUAUAUUGAUAAUGUUAAUUAUUCAAUGACUUCAGCUAACAUUUACAUUCUUACUUCCAGGUAAACCUGUCACGCAGAUUCCCUACCCCUUGGUAUUUAUAGUUCAAGAUUGUACCGAAACAAUCCACAUGGAGCAUUACAACACGCCACAUACUGCAUGUCUAUGCUGCGUGUACAAUGCAUCAAACCUAUUCUCAGGUACAGGCCAGCUGGUACGCAAUUACAACAUGAAACUGACACAGGGACCGUAAAGUCAUGCCUUUUCUUCCGCGCCUCGGGUUUCAUGUUAUUAUCCUCACAUGCAGCUCAAUUCGCCUGUGCUGUGCAGCAUGAGCAAAAGCAUAUAUUGUUUGUGGUCACAUGACACGGAACAUAAAUACAGUGAAACCUUCCUAUGUUGGACACCAGCGGUGCAGCCGAAGCGUCUCCUACUAAUAGAGGUGUCCGAGUUACAGAAUAUGAGUGCAAACAAAAAAUGGAAGAGAUCACAGCUGUGAGAAAUGUCCCCCUUCUUCAAUUUAAGGUCCUUAGUGGUACCUGGUGGUGGUGCCUGGUAGUGGUACCUCUACCCACUCACUGAUAAUUAUUACUGAUUUUAGUAUAUUCAAUUCCGUUCAGAUUCUACUCAAUGGCAUUACCUCUGGAGCCUUUCGAGCAGCAAGGACUUGUCUCUGAAGCGUCAGCCUACUUCUCAUAGCUCUGGUGCAGUGCUCGUUCAAAGGCUCUAGACAAACUGAAGACAAGUGCUCACAUAAAGAAUUACAAUGUAGACUGACAGCACUUGUUUUUGGACUCUAAAAACUAAAGCAACAAAAUGCUGAGACCAGUAUAGGGGAAAAAAGGGGCAAAAGUCAAGGCCACUUGCUCAUUUUGGGUCUUUUUGGUGCAAAGAUGGGCAAAUAUUGAGGUAAUUUGGCCAGGGUUUUGUCCGACUUUGCAGGGAAAACCCUAUCCUACUUCCAAGAUAGGGAGGUGUCCGACGUAGAGAAUUUCGUCUCCAUGUAGUUUCAAUGGGAGCCUGCCCGUGCAAUGAAAUCAUGGGGAGUUGUCCGAGGUAGGGAGGUGUCCGACUUGAAGGUUUUACUGUACUAUAGAGCAUUCUACAACAUGUAAUCUAACAGUUGUUCACGUUUGGAUAUUUUAACCAUGGAAUUCACCCUGCAUGCACCAAACCACGUCCAAACACUAACAACUGCUAGAGAGCAGCAUGCACUGUUUCCGUAUAGCACUUAUGGCUUGCGUCCUGUGAUCGGAAACAGUGGUGUCUUUUUUCUGCUACAACCAGUAAACUACAGUAAAUAUUUAGAAAUACUGUGUCAUACCAUAAAGCACUAUGGGAAAUGGCAGUUUGAAAACUGGAGAAGACUGUCAUUAGAACGGGGGACAUGUUCUACGGUGAAAUUUUUUACAGUGUGUGCUGCACCACGUAAUGCACUGCAGGCCUACCACAGUAUGGUAACGCUCUGGAUACUGAUUUGCUCAAAAAAGGAAUUUGUGCGUUUCUUGUACUAACUUCCCCUUAUGCAAAGUAGUAGAAAAAUGUUUUCAGCCAAUGGGGAGGGAGAGGACAUCAUUCUGGAGUCUCGUUGACCUACAAUGUGUCGUGUGUGAAGGCCAUUUUGAAGAGUGUAGGUGGUACAAGACUGUGUUCCCACGUUCUUGGCAGUGUUGACUAAUAACCAUAAUAAAGUAGUGGGUACAUUUGUUGCUUCAUAUAUUUGUGUCAUGGCAAAGUAUGUAGAGAUACAUCUGUCUCAACAUGCAAGUGACAAAACUGCUUUUUAUGCCUAAACUAUGACAAAUAGUCGUCUGUUCAGCACCACUAAUCAUGUGCAAGCCUCCAUGACAUGUCUGUGACAUUCCAAAGUGAUUAACAUGUCCCAUAGAUGUGUGCAAUGCUGAAGAUGACUGUGUACCUUCUAUGGAUUCUUGAUUCAAGAAAAGUACUGUGUGAUUUGCUAACGGUGCCUGGCUGUACCUUCACAAUUCUACAUAAAAAUAUGUAAAGUUUGCCGAAGGAAAUAUCAUGAAGGUCGAUAGCGAAAAACCCUGAGACGAGGGAUAGGAAGGGACAUACACAAUGUCUCAACAUAGCUUGUUUAUGUCCCUUCUUGUAUCUCCUCUUCAGGUCUCGCCAUCAUGGACACUAUCACCAGCUAGCUUGCUGUUGAACCGUUCUUUCAACGAUAAGGGUCACUUUCAUGGACUGGAUGGCAGCCAACAUGCUGUCAAUAAAAAGAAUAAUGGAAGGAGCUCAAUAUGAUCCUUAGGCUGUGCGUGGUUAUUGCUUUCUGACAAAUUCGUGACUUCGAAUUCCAGGACAGUGCCUGCAGUGGUAGUAUUCUUGUGUUCUCACCCUUCACGCCCAUUGUGUGUCAUCGGUCACCUAUAAUCUGCUAAUAUGCACAUAGCUAAAACAAAGUAUAUUUGUAUUUCUUUGAAUACAGUUGGUACAGCACAUUGUUUUUUACAUGUUCUUUGGAAAAUAUAAAUAAAAAAUUCUCUACUC